ANGAAGUCNGUAACAAGGUUUCCGUAGGUGAACCUGCGGAAGGAUCAUUG
rnacentral:rRNA from 6 species